rnacentral:rRNA from 1 species
UACGUAGGUGACCAGCGUUGUCCGGAUUUACUGGGCGUAAAGAGCGCGCAGGCGGUCGUUCAAGUCGAGUGUGAAAGCCCCCGGCUCAACUGGGGAGGGUCAUUCGAUACUGAUCGACUCGAAGGCAGGAGAGGGUAGUGGAAUUCCCGGUGUAGUGGUGAAAUGCGUAGAGAUCGGGAGGAACACCAGAGGCGAAGGCGGCGACCUGGACAGUGACUGACACUCAACUACGAAAGCGUGGGGAGCAAACAGG